rnacentral:rRNA from 1 species
CCUACGGGUGGCAGCAGUGAGGAAUAUUGGUCAAUGGACGGAAGUCUGAACCAGCCAUGCCGCGUGAUCGAAUGAAGGCCUUCGGGUUGUAAAGAUCUGUUGACAGGGACGAAUAAGCAAUGCGAAUAGGUUUGUGUAUGACGGUACCUGUUUAGAAAGCUCCGGCUAACUACGUGCCAGCAGCCGCGGUAAUACGUAGGGAGCAAGCGUUGUCCGGAAUUACUGGGCGUAAAGGGCGCGUAGGUGGGCGCUUAAGUCAGGUGUGAAAACUCCGGGCUCAACCUGGAGACUGCACUUGAAACUGGGUGUCUUGAGGGCAGGAGAGGAAAGUGGAAUUCCUAGUGUAGCGGUGAAAUGCGUAGAUAUUAGGAGGAACACCAGUGGCGAAGGCGACUUUCUGGACUGUACCUGACGCUGAGGCGCGAAAGCGUGGGUAGCGAACGGGAUUAGAUACCCCAGUAGUC